AGAGUAAUGAUCGUGCAAUAUUUCAAAUGAUAUUUCUACCAGUCACAUUGUGCUUAUGCUGCUCUCCUUUUAGAUCAUGUAUGCGUAUCCUGUGUUCCAUAAAACUCCUCAGGGUCGACUCCUGAUGGGGCCGACUGAGGAGGCAAAUAGGAGUACGGUGGUGGUGGCCGGGAGGGCCCGGCGUAAGGAGGAGGUUCUGGCCGAGGCAACUGCCUUUGUGAGGCAGAACGGAGGGGAUCCUGGUGACCAAUUCCUGGUUCUGGCUCAUUGUAAGAUCCAGUUUGGAAAACACCAGAACCAGAGGUUCCGCUGGCUGCUGGAGAACUCCCUGGGUUACGCGGUGUACCUGGUCAGCAGCAUCAUGGGGGAGGAGGAGAGGGACAACCCGCUGUCGGCCAGCAAACACCUGUUUCUCAGGUACACCUGCCAGAUCAGGGAGAUAGGGGAGGCUGUGGAGGUGUAUUGGAAGAAACAGGCGUUGCUCCAGGAGGCCCAGAGGAGCGGUGACUCUGGGUGUUUGAUGGUGGAGUUUGGCGACUUCAAGGGCAGGUCCAUGAAGGAGGUGUAUGAGGACCCAGGCAAGGAGGCCCAGGCUCUCGUCACCUACCUGAAGACAGCAAAGGCCAGGCCCAACACCAACAUGGCCCUUUUCAAGGACUAUGUGCUGAAGAGGCAGGCUUCAGCUGUAGCCCACCUGCCCACUGUGACAGCUCCUUCCUCCUCCUCCUCCGCUGCUGCUCCACCUGCUGCUGCUCGACCUGCUGCCACUCAGAGCAGGCCCCUGACGGCUGCCGGCGUUAACGCUCUGCUGGCACGUGGGAAGCAUUUGUCUCCCUCACAGUUGGCACGAAAAAUUGUUUCUCCAGCCAAACCCUCUCCAGUGCCACGUGUCCCCUCUCCAUCUACAUCCGCUGCCCGCAGACAGCUCUUUAACUGUGACGCUGUUGGUGCUGCUGGGGAUUUUUUUAAGGAGCAAGACGACCAGGAGAUGGUGACUGUGGCCUCGCAAGCUGAGGAAAAACUACCUCAAGAGAAUUAGCACUGAUCCCAGUGUCAGUCUACACUCACUCUUCAAAGCAAAAAGGGUAUUUAAAGCCUCAAGAGGCCCUGCUCCUCCUGCUCCUGCUCUUGCUCCUCCAGCGCUGUGGACUCCUGGCCCCGUGUUCCAGCCCCCUGCAGAGCUUCCUG